GAGUUUGAUUAUGGCUCAGGAUGAACGCUAGCGGGAGGCCUAACACAUGCAAGCCGAGCGGGAUUUGUUGGUUAGCUUGCUAACUAAUAAUGAGAGCGGUGUACGGGUGCGUAACACGUGUGCAACCUGCCUUUAUCUGGGGGAUAGCCUUUCGAAAGGAAGAUUAAUACCCCAUAAUAUAUUAAUUGGCAUCAAUUGAUAUUGAAAGCUCCGGCGGAUAGAGAUGGGCACGCGUAAGAUUAGCUAGUUGGUGAGGUANCGGCUCACCAAGGCUGCGNUCUUUAGGGGGCCUGAGAGGGUGAUCCCCCACACUGGUACUGAGACACGGACCAGACUCCUACGGGAGGCAGCAGUGAGGAAUAUUGGACAAUGGGUGAGAGCCUGAUCCACUCCAUCCCGCGUGAAGGACUAAGGACCUAUGGUUUGUAAACUUCUUUUAUACAGGGAUAAACCUACUCUCGUGAGGGUAGNUGAAUGUCUUGUAUGAAUAAGC
rnacentral:rRNA from 1 species